rnacentral:rRNA from 1 species
GACAGGUGAGUAACACGUGACUAACCUGCCUUCUAGUGGGGGAUAACUCCGGGAAACCGGGGCUAAUACCGCAUAACAUCCUUGGGUGAAAUUCCUGGGGAUCAAAGCAGCAAUACGCUGGAAGAGGGGGUCGCGGCCGAUUAGCUAGUUGGCGGGGUAAUGGCCCACCAAGGCAGUGAUCGGUAGCCGGCCUGAGAGGGCGCACGGCCACACUGGAACUGAAACACGGUCCAG